rnacentral:rRNA from 1 species
AUACAUGCAAGUCGAGCGGACAGAUGGGAGCUUGCUCCCUGAUGUUAGCGGCGGACGGGUGAGUAACACGUGGGUAACCUGCCUGUAAGACUGGGAUAACUCCGGGAAACCGGGGCUAAUACCGGAUGGUUGUUUGAACCGCAUGGUUCAGACAUAAAAGGUGGCUUCGGCUACCACUUACAGAUGGACCCGCGGCGCAUUAGCUAGUUGGUGAGGUAACGGCUCACCAAGGCGACGAUGCGUAGCCGACCUGAGAGGGUGAUCGGCCACACUGGGACUGAGACACGGCCCAGACUCCUACGGGAGGCAGCAGUAGGGAAUCUUCCGCAAUGGACGAAAGUCUGACGGAGCAACGCCGCGUGAGUGAUGAAGGUUUUCGGAUCGUAAAGCUCUGUUGUUAGGGAAGAACAAGUGCCGUUCAAAUAGGGCGGCACCUUGACGGUACCUAACCAGAAAGCCACGGCUAACUACGUGCCAGCAGCCGCGGUAAUACGUAGGUGGCAAGCGUUGUCCGGAAUUAUUGGGCGUAAAGGGCUCGCAGGCGGUUUCUUAAGUCUGAUGUGAAAGCCCCCGGCUCAACCGGGGAGGGUCAUUGGAAACUGGGGAACUUGAGUGCAGAAGAGGAGAGUGGAAUUCCACGUGUAGCGGUGAAAUGCGUAGAGAUGUGGAGGAACACCAGUGGCGAAGGCGACUCUCUGGUCUGUAACUGACGCUGAGGAGCGAAAGCGUGGGGAGCGAACAGGAUUAGAUACCCUGGUAGUCCACGCCGUAAACGAUGAGUGCUAAGUGUUAGGGGUUUC